rnacentral:rRNA from 1 species
UACGGAGGAUGCAAGCGUUAUCCGGAAUGAUUGGGCGUAAAGCGUCCGCAGGUGGCUGUGUAAGUCUGCUGUUAAAGAGUGAGGCUCAACCUCAUAAAAGCAGUGGAAACUACACGGCUAGAGUGCGUUCGGGGCAGAGGGAAUUCCUGGUGUAGCGGUGAAAUGCGUAGAUAUCAGGAAGAACACCGGUGGCGAAAGCGCUCUGCUAGGCCGCAACUGACACUGAGGGACGAAAGCUAGGGGAGCGAAUGGG